AUGCCUAGCAUGUCUAACGUGUCAUCUUUUUCCUAUAAAAAGGGAUGCCGGCCCUUCUCAAGUUCUCAUUUCUCACACUCAAAAGUCUCAAACUGCAUCUCAUUUUACACACACAAUACAAACAUGGAUGAGAGAGGCUCCAGAAUCUGGGACUACUACGAUGCUGAAGUAGUUAUGGACGGUAGAAAAUCCGAGCUAAAAUCACAGUGCAAAAGAUGUGGUAAGUUGCUGCGCAUUGCCUGCCACGGUCCAGUAAACAUCCUUACUAGGCACAGAGCAGCACACAUCAAGAGAGACGAGCUGGCCGCAGCUGCCGGGCAAGGAUGA
rnacentral:rRNA from 1 species